AGCAGCACAGGGCUUGCAGUCAGGAAAACCUCUGAUACCGGAAGCCUUGGGAUCAUGGGCUCAGGAA
rnacentral:lncRNA from 1 species